rnacentral:piRNA from 1 species
UACUAAUAGAAGCUGGGUCUGCUGC